rnacentral:lncRNA from 1 species
GUCAAUAAUCUUUGAGGAUUUAUGCUAAUUUAACCAGAAAUGCUCUUUCAGAACAUGGAUUUAUCACAUGUCAUAGAACAUUGAAGUCACAUUAGAAUGUGGUUAAUUUCUCCACUGAGCUAGAAGCACAUGGUUUGCAGAACAUUGGCUACAGUAAGAACAUACUCUGCAUAAGAGAGGGUUCAACAUUAACAACAAUGUCUGUAAAAACAGAAUCACAGCUGUCAAGAAGAGUGCUAUGCUGGUGGUACAGGCUCAGUGAUGGGAAAUUCAAGCCUUGAAGAUGAAGAGAAAAAUACACCAGCAUUUUAAUUAUUCCAUGUAUCAUCAUAAAUAUAUAUUUUAUUUAUUAUGGAAUUCUACCUGUG